rnacentral:rRNA from 1 species
GGAGUUUGGUCCGUGUCUCAGUACCAAUGUGGGGGACCUUCCUCUCAGAACCCCUAUGGAUCGUCGCCUUGGUGGGCCGUUGCCCCGCCAACUAGCUAAUCCAACGCAUGUCCAUCCAUGAGCAAUGAAUCUUUAACCACUAAAUGAUGUCACAAAAUGGUGUCAUGGGGUAUUAAUCCGGUUUUCACCGGGCUAUCCCCCACUCAUGGGCAGGUUACAUACGCGUUACUCACCCGUGCGCCGCUCGCCACCCGAGGUGCUGCCGCUCGACUUGCAUGUGUUAGGCCUGUCGCUAGCGUUCAUC